UACGUAGGGUGCAAGCGUUAAUCGGAAUUACUGGGCGUAAAGCGUGCGCAGGCGGUUGUGUAAGACAGAUGUGAAAUCCCCGGGCUCAACCUGGGAACUGCAUUUGUGACUGCACAGCUGGAGUGCGGCAGAGGGGGAUGGAAUUCCGCGUGUAGCAGUGAAAUGCGUAGAGAUGCGGAGGAACACCGAUGGCGAAGGCAGGUCUCUGGGCUGACACUGACGCUCAUGCACGAAAGCGUGGGGAGCGAACAGG
rnacentral:rRNA from 1 species